rnacentral:snRNA from 1 species
AUCCCUUUCUCGGCCUGUUGGCGAAGAUCAAGUAGCGUAGUAUCUCAGAUACUGUAUCUGUUCUUAUCAGUUUAAUAUAUGAUAUGUGAGCCAAAGGCUCGCACGAUAUUAAAUUAACCAUUUUAAGGCGGAGAGUUCGCUACGGGAGCUUGCUACCGGGGCUCUCGAGCGUCGCCCUUGCGUUGCACCACUGCGAGAGCCUGGCGCACCCCAC